UAGGGAAUCUUCCGCAAUGGACGCAAGUCUGACGGAGCAACGCCGCGUGAGUGAAGAAGGAUUUCGGUUCGUAAAACUCUGUUGUUAGAGAAGAACAGCGCAUAGAGUAACUGUUAUGCGUGUGACGGUAUCUAACCAGAAAGCCACGGCUAACUACGUGCCAGCAGCCGCGGUAAUACGUAGGUGGCAAGCGUUGUCCGGAUUUAUUGGGCGUAAAGCGAGCGCAGGCGGUCAAUUAAGUCUGAUGUGUAAGCCCCCGGCUCAACCGGGGAGGGUCAUUGGAAACUGGUUGACUUGAGUGCAGAAGAGGGGAGUGGAAUUCCAUGUGUAGCGGUGAAAUGCGUAGAUAUAUGGAGGAACACCGGUGGCGAAAGCGGCUCUCUGGUCUGUAACUGCCGCUGAGGCUCGAAAGCGUGGGGAGCGAACAGG
rnacentral:rRNA from 1 species